UUGUAUUCUAGAAUAAAAUAGUUCAAGUAUUUGAAACGUUUUUUUUUUAUCAAAACAAAUGCACAUAUGUAAACUUAGCCAUUCAUUAAAAAAAAAAAAAAAAACCAUCGAGAAUACAUUAGCAAUGAUAUACAGGCUUAUACAUUUAAUUACAUUUUCAAGUGUAUAUUUUUCUGUUCUGAAACUGGAAUUCUGGUUUUAGCUAUAAUGCAUGCUACUUAAAAGUAUAAAUACAAAUACAAACAUGUAGUUCAAGGUCAUAAAAACUGCGUGCAGACAUCAGAAAAUGCUGUUUUAGAUGAAGUAUAGACUACAGGCCAUUACUGCCAUUGCUUGACAUGUAAUGUCAAGUUAUUUCCCUUCAUUCUACAGUUCUGCAUUGCACAGCCCACACAUCUAAUGAUCAGUGAUGAAUAAUUGAUCUGCUCUGAGAACACAUGCAGAGUUCAUGUGUGCACAGCGAGGUCUGGUGCUUCUCUGUUUAGACACAGACACCUUGCGUAUAUGUAGGUCACACAUGUACAUAAAUCUGUGUCACGCACUGACAAGAAACAGCACAUCUGCUGCGCUAUAAUGAAGAUAUUGAUCAUCAUAUCAUGCAAAGUGUAUUUGAUCAGCUGCUUCAGACACAUCUUAUCUUAUCGGCCGAGCAGCUGUCUGCUGAUGCCUGGUUAAUCAUUUAAACACAGACCCCAGCAUGCACUGACCAGACUUUUGUUGUCAAACUUUGAUUUUAAAAGUUCAGCAAGGGGAACAUCUGUCGGCGCCAAGGUUAGAUGGAAGUGAGACAGACAAAGAUUAGAUUAGAUGUUGGUCUUUUUAUAGGCCUAUGCAGAAAGCUGGCUGUCUUGUCCUUAAAUAUAACAUCAUUUUAAAAGCCUUUAAAGCAUUAAUAGUAAAAAAAAAAAAAAAAAAAAAAAAUCCCUAUUACCUGUUGAUUGAGAGGAUUUAGUAAGGCAGCUAGAAUCCUGAGGGCCGUGUGAAUUACAAGCACGCACACACACACACACACACACGCACACACACACACACACACACACACACACACAGUGCCUCGGUCCUGAACCCAUUGGAGAGAUGUUUGGCUGUCUCCUGGAGGAGUCCCCAGUGGUUUACGUCCAUAUACACCACAGCUUCCUGUUCCCUGAACAGGGACAGAAGAAGGUGGCAGGUGUCCCGACAAAGCCCUUGUCUUGAGCUCACUAAUGCACGCGUGUGACACGGGUUACAGACACACUUGAUCCAGCAUAUGUGAUGCUGCAAUCAGAGGCUAAAGGCUUAGGUUCUGUGGUUUUGUGUCCACCACCGGACACUGACACAUGAAGGAUGUAAUUCUGUUCAAUGUAAGACCAAGUUAUAAACACCCUAAAGACAAUACAAUUAGAAAGAAGUGUAAGAAAAAACUAAAUGAAACAAGCAUUUUGUUACACUUUCCACCGUGGAAUAAAAUGUAAUUUUAACUGCACAGAAAACAGAAUUUUUUUUUGCUCUUAUUUCCAGAAAAAAUGAAACAAAAUAUCAAUAGAUAUCUGGAAGUGUAAAAGUGGAGCCUGUGAAUUGACACAUUUUCCAGUGAAACGACAAAGUGACUCAACACCAAUUACAGGCAAACGUGAAGCUCUUCACACCUAAUGUGCAGACGAGAGACUGAAAUGGAGAAAUAAGGGUUAAAGUAUGUUUGUUACUGAAGGAGAGGGCUUCGUAAUCCAUCUGCUCUCAAUUUACUGCCUCAAUUUGCCUUUGUAUUUAACAUGAAUGUUAAGGAAAUGUGUAUGCAAAAAGCUCAUCGUCUGGCCAUCAUGUUUUGUUAUUGUGUUUGGAAACUGGGGCAGAUGUGUUUGCCAUGCAUUCAAAAGCAGAAAUGAAAUUCUGAAGCUAACGCCAUCUUUCUGUUCUUCCUCUUCUCAUAGCAGAAGUUUUCUUUUAAAUCUAUUGUUAUGUACACCUGUCUCAUCUGACAGUAUGUGAGCUUGAUCAUGGCGACGGACAAUAACUGGAGAAUAUGUCUUCAACACAACUAGUGUGAGAGUAGACAACACUUCUGACUUCUGUAAGAAACGGUGUAUACAUUUACGUUAAUUCAGCAGAUGGUUUCAUUCGAAGCAGCUCGUAAUUUAGAGACUUGGCGGUUCGGGAAGGGCAGGGAGAUCCUUCACCACGGAGGUAAAGAGUGUUGGAGCUAAUCAUCGGUGAACUGAACGUGCAACCUUUGCCACUGAUUGCAAGAAAUAUGCAGAGUCUCCCUAUAGAUGUCAGAGCUAUCAGAAGCCCGAAGCCUGGCGCACAUGCCACUUUAGAGAGUCAGGACCGGACCAGACCGGACCAGACGUGAGGGAUUCCCUGUCCUGUCGUUCUCCGUGUCUGGCAGGACGGCGAGCGAUGGGAGAUGUGUCAUCUGAUCCGUGAUGAUUCGGCUGCUGCCGCUCUGGUUUGUACGGGUGUCUCUGGGCAGAGUCGGACUGAUCGUGUUUCGCUCCUCUCUCCCCUCAGACGCACUGCGGCAGCCGCUGCACACACACACACACAAACACACUGCACUCGCUUCUGUUUUUAGGAGGGAGGGAGUGGGACGGCUCUCUUGUCUUGUCUCUCCCAAACUAUUCCUUCUUCAAGUCUCGCUUGGAAGGCUUUCUGCGGAGAACCUGAACAUGCCUGGGAAGUUUGGAGGCAGGAUCUAUACCCUUGCUUUCCAUGAGGAAUACACCAUUUCCCCAAAUAGUUUGUGUGCUUGCAGCAGAUCCAAGAGGAACAAACGUUCUUGAAGGAGGGAAAGCAUUGUCUAUGGUCUGUGUGGCACUGGAUUAUGGCGAUGGACUCGGAUAGCAUUUCUGCUUCAGAUAUUAGGCUUUGACCACAGGCCUCUGCCAGCCGGACCCAUCCGAUCAUGCGAUCGUCCUGUAACUGGAUAAUACAUUCCCGGAGUCCUGCUUCCAGCGGGAGAAUCAGGGAGAGAGCUGCCCAGACAAGCUGACCUAAAUCGAUCCCAGCGCUGUCUGGAAGCUGCGAGAGCGAGAGAGAGCGAGAGAGAGCGGAUCUGUUCUCCGCCAGCAGCAUCAUGUGGAGAAUCAGAGGGACUGCACACUCUCUCUCUCUCUCUCUCUCUCUCUCUCUCUCUUGCUGCUGGAGGGAAACUGGCACGCCUUGCACAUCUCCCGGGGAUCAGCUCCUUUCCAACGGUUUCUUCCUCGUCUCCUCCAGCAGUGAUCAAUCCGUCAGGCUCUGGCGGCAGUUUCACGCUGAAUUAGUUGCUGCUCUGAGCCACUGUUAUCAGCCGGCGCUGGGGAACACAUCUACCUGGACCGGGACACGACUGCUCCGAAAACCGUCUGCGUCUGAAGAGCGGUGAGCGAGGGACAGUCUGGUAGUGGAUUAAUGCAGGAGUCUAUCCUUCUCUCUUCCCUCUCCACCUCCUGUUUUUACUGUGAGUGUAUCAUGCGCAUGUCUCUCUCUCUCCCUCUCUCUCUCUGACACACACACACACACACAUCAGUUCUCUCUGGCUUAUCUCAGUCUCUGUUGGCUGAUCUGUGAAGGGUGUUUUGCGGCUAUCAGAGAUGAUGUUUCUUACAAUAGCUCAGAAAACAUGAUUCAAACACUUGAGGAGGGAAACCAUGUGUAAUGUGAUGUAAACAUUUCAGCGGCUGCUCUUUUUAUUUAAAUGUUAUGUGUUAAAAUAACUAGUUUUACUACAACAAUGAUGUGCAGCUGAAGAAAAUGUCCUGACCUGAGAAAGCAGUUGCAGAAAUGUUCCUGAUGAACACAGAGCAUAAUACAAUAUAUAUUCUAUUUAAGUUACUGACAUGUUUAUAAAUCAAUUAAUAGUUACAGAGAUAAUUUGCCAAAUUUAAAUCAUUAUUCUGGUCACAUUUGAAAACAUCAGACCUGGCAUUUAAAAGUCAAAUUUUGUUGCGGUCCUCUGCGAGUAAGACAAAUGCAUGAUACAUAUAAGAUAGAAAUAUGGUUCAGAUUUAUUGUUCCUAUGUCUGAUCUCUUUAAAUAUUGUUGUAAUGUGACAUUUCAUUGGGUUUCAAAGUGCCUCUUGUUUUGUCAUACAUUUAUAUGUACUUUAUAUUAAAGAAAUGCACAUAAAUUCAAGAAAUAAUUAUGAAUAAAGACAGUUUGAAUCAAAUGCAGCAUGACAUUUCUUUAUGCAGUCUGUUUAGUCUCGUGUCUCCAGUAAAAUGUACCACAGUGCUAUUAUUCAGGAUGUGAGUUCUCAGUUCAUUAAAAGUACUAAAGGGUAAACUAUGCACCCUUUCUGAUCUAAUAUACAAAACGUGGUAAAAUGUUUAACAGUCUCAUCUCUGUCCUUCACCCUUGAACUGCAUCCAGAUCAUGUAUUACAGAUAACAGCUGACUAUAUUAGGCAUCAUAAUUACAGGCGCUCUGUCUCUAUCACACACUCAGGUGAUCGUAAUACCACCAGCAUUUCUAAUGCCAUGUGUCCUAUUAGAUGUGUACCAGCUAAAGCUUGUCCAUCUCAUUAGCUUGUGUUUCAGACUCAAAUCACCUGAUUACUGGCUCACUAAACGCUGGAAAUGUCAGGCAGGAUUGUUGUCAUUCUGUUCAGGUGUUUCGCAGUGCGACUCAUUGAGUGUUUUAGUAUCAUGACCGUAUUAUGGCAAGUUAUCCCAAUUUCAGUGAAUAUGUUAAAAUCAUUUUUAAUGCUUUCUCACUAUGAAAAAGACACGAUCAGUUCUCAUAAAAAGUGUAACUCUGCAAUGCUUGAUUUGAAAACAUUGAUCUGUUUUUUGAUC